rnacentral:snoRNA from 1 species
AAUGCACAACUUACCAGUAAUCAGUAGUCAUUAAAAGGCCAGAGGUGCGAUGAACCCUCAAGCAUAGGUAGUGUGCUACGUGAUGGGCAAGUUUUUCACUAACAUUAAAGGAUCUCUGACCCAAUGAGGGGAAUUGACUACAGGU